GUUUUCUUUUAGCUCAUCAGAAUCAUGACUAUCUGGCUGUAUUUUCUCCUACUGGCAAGUUCAUCGGGAGGUGUCCUGGCAGGUGCUUCCAUAGCUGAAUCAGGAGGAGGAGUGAAAAGACCUGGAGAUUCUCUUCGUCUCACUUGCACAUGCUCUGAGUUGAAUAUCGAUAGCUACUGGAUGGAAUGGGUCCGCCAGGCAGAUGGAAAGGGGCUGGAGUGGAUCGCACGGAUACAUCAAAGCAGCGUCUAUUACGCCAAUUCUUUCAAAGGUCGAUUCACAAUCUCCAAAGAUAGUUCCAGGAACCUAGUUUAUCUAGACAUGACCAGACUGAAAGCUGAAGACACAGCCAAGUAUUACUGUACAACCGCCACAGUGGAGAAAAGGGAAUCUGAGCUUGUUCUAAAACCUACAGUUUAUAUGGGAAAUGGAAAGUUUCAUUUGGAUUCACUCCAAUGA